GAAGAAUUGAACAAUAUUCAAAGAAUUGAACAAAGAUUCACAACGUUUUAUCAACUUAUUGAUUAAUGAUGCAGAAGUCCAGCCACAAGGCAACAUGCAUAUCAACUCUAUUGCCAAUAUAGAAUCAAAAUUCACAAAAACCAAGUUUUUUAUAUUAACAUAUUCAAAGGAUAGUAUAAAAAUAUUUUUGAAGUGCAUAACUAUUCGAAAAAUCAGACCUGGUCGUGAAGGAACUAUAUCUUCAUAAAGUGUACAUGUAAAAAAUUGACUGCAAACUCCUAAAAAUACCGAUGUAUUACCCCCAUAGAAGUACUAUAUGACAAAUCAUGCAUAAGGUGCUGGUUCACAUAUGGUGCAAUUAAAAUUUCAACCGGACUGAAGGUUUAUAAGUGAUCAAUACACAAAGUGGUGUCACUAUAAGCCUGUGACAUAGAAGGUUACGAUAUGGAGAGGAUUCUCGAAACCAAAGUCGCAUAUCAUCACAACUAUCACACAGGCCCAAAGCGUCAAAGGUACACAGACUCCUCAUAGGAGAGAAACUCCUGCAUCCCA
rnacentral:lncRNA from 1 species